UACGUAGGGUGCAAGCGUUAAUCGGAAUUACUGGGCGUAAAGCGUGCGCAGGCGGUGAUGUAAGACAGAUGUGAAAUCCCCGGGCUUAACCUGGGAACUGCAUUUGUGACUGCAUCGCUGGAGUGCGGCAGAGGGGGAUGGAAUUCCGCGUGUAGCAGUGAAAUGCGUAGAUAUGCGGAGGAACACCGAUGGCGAAGGCAAUCCCCUGGGCCUGCACUGACGCUCAUGCACGAAAGCGUGGGGAGCAACAAGG
rnacentral:rRNA from 1 species